rnacentral:rRNA from 1 species
UACGGAGGGGACUAGCGUUGUUCGGAAUUACUGGGCGUAAAGCGCACGUAGGCGGAUUUGUAAGUCAGGGGUGAAAUCCCGAGGCUCAACCUCGGAACUGCCUUUGAUACUGCAAAUCUCGAGUCCGGAAGAGGUGAGUGGAAUUCCUAGUGUAGAGGUGAAAAUUCGUAGAUAUUAGGGAAAGAACACCAGUGGCGAAGGCGGCUCACUGGUCCGGUUCUGACGCUGAGGCGCGAAAAGCGUGGGGGAGCAAAACAGG